AACGCACCUUGCGCUCCUUGGUAUUCCGAGGAGCAUGCCUGUUUGAGUGUUAUGAAAAUAUCUCAGCCCAUGUGUUCUGGCUUGUCAAAAGCCGCAGAAUUCAGGUUUGGAUCCUUGGGAGCUUAUGCUGGCUUUAUUUCAAUGCCUGCUCUCCUUAAAUUCAUUAGCAAGAUCCUCAGUGCUGGUCAUCAUUUUUUUUGGUAUGAUAAACACUAUCUAUAUCAUUUAAAGACCAGCUGUAAGGUGGAAUUUGCUUCUAACUUUGGUUUCUUUCAAAUAAGAAACAUCACUUUGAAUUUUGACCUCAAAUCAGGUAGGACUACCCGCUGAACUUAA
rnacentral:misc_RNA from 1 species